UUGAACGCUGGCGGCAUGCCUUACACAUGCAAGUCGAACGGCAGCAUGGAAGAGCUUGCUCUUCUGAUGGCGAGUGGCGAACGGGUGAGUAAAGCAUCGGAACGUACCGUGUAGUGGGGGAUAACGUAGCGAAAGUUACGCUAAUACCGCAUACGCACUGAGGUGGAAAGCAGGGGAUCGCAAGACCUUGCGCUAUACGAGCGGCCGAUGUCAGAUUAGCUAGUUGGUAGGGUAAAGGCCUACCAAGGCGACGAUCUGUAGCGGGUCUGAGAGGAUGAUCCGCCACACUGGGACUGAGACACGGCCCAGACUCCUACGGGAGGCAGCAGUGGGGAAUUUUGGACAAUGGGCGAAAGCCUGAUCCAGCCAUGCCGCGUGAGUGAAGAAGGCCUUCGGGUUGUAAAGCUCUUUCGGCUGGGAAGAAAUCGCACAGGCUAAUACUCUGUGUGGAUGACGGUACCAGCACAAGAAGCACCGGCUAACUACGUGCCAGCAGCCGCGGUAAUACGUAGGGUGCGAGCGUUAAUCGGAAUUACUGGGCGUAAAGCGUGCGCAGGCGG
rnacentral:rRNA from 1 species